rnacentral:misc_RNA from 1 species
CUCAAAACAGAAACGGUCCCCUAACUUUAAAUUCCUUUCCUAUUUUACAGUCCACACUGCAGAGUCUUUCCUUAAUCGAUAUAAGACAGGCAUGGUAAUAAGCAAUUGUGUUCAACUUCAAUAUGUGGUAUGGCUUCCAUUAUCAUCGUCAAAGAUAAAGAAGAGGAAGCCUUUCGCACUCUCAGCCACUGCCAAAACUGAGCAAAUCAGGGUUUGCACAAACCGCACAUGCCGCAAGCAAGGUUCCAUGCAGACGCUAGAAAUCAUGAUGGCUCUCUCUCCUCCCGAUCUUCCCGUCAACUCAUGCGGCUGCUUGGGCCGAUGUGGUGCUGGCCCCAACGUCGCCCUUCUCCCUCAAGGGAUCAUCGUCGGCCAUUGUGGCACCGCCGCUGCAGCCGCUCGCAUUAUGGCUCGACAUAAUGAUGACGAAGUUGAUGAUGCCAUAAUCCGCAAUUCUUUGGAUGCUUUUGCUCUCAGAAAGAGAGCCCGGGUUGAAUUUGAUCAGGGCAAUUUCUCCCAGGCCGACCUCCUCCUUUCGCAGGCUAUACAUCUUAAACCAUUCGGUGGUCUCCAUAUUAUUUAUAAAAGCAGGUCCCAAGUAAGAUUGUUGAUGGAAAACUAUUUGGAGGCUCUCCAAGAUGCCCAAGAAGCUUUGAAUCUGGCUCCUCAAUAUACUGAGGCAUAUAUGUGUGAAGGUGAUGCCUUCAUGGCAAUGAAACAAUAUGAUGGAGCUGAGAAGUCAUAUUCAAUGUGUUUACAGAUAGAUCCUACCAUUCGUCGCUCUAAAGCAUUCAAGGUUCGUGUUGCACAAGUUCAGGAGAAACUAAUUGCUGCAAAUAUGCCUUACAACCAGCAGUAGAAAUGAAAUCUUGAACGCAUGUAUUAUGUAGCAAAGAUUAAAUCUUGGCAUUCCUUCUUUUCCAGGUUUGACAUUCUCACUAAAAUAUUUCCGAUUAAUCCAGAGCUUGAGAUGGAACCACUAAUUUUUAUAAGAAAUUCUGAUGAAUGGUAAGAUUUUAUAGUCUCCAUAACUUAUAUAAAUUGAAAGAUAGAUGUUAAGUUUUUAGAAAGAAGGAGAAUAAAAAGAAAAAAGAAGAGAGGAGGAAAGGCUACAAAGACUACAUUUUCAUUAACUUCACUCUUACACCUUUACUUGAUACACUGUCCAUAUUUAUAAUGGAAAGCACAAUACACAUUUCAUAAAUUGGAAAUAAUUCAAACCACCUUGAAUUAUGGGAUUUUCUAAGAAUUAAGGAGAAAUCUCAUCCUAUAAAUUAAGGAGGAAUCUUAUUUCUUAAAUUAAGGAAAAUCUUAUUAGUUCUAACUGCCACUACCAAUCAACAGUCCAACACCAGGAGACCCUGUCGAUAUGAAACUAGCCACCUGAAACAGCUUGAAAAAAAAAUAUGUUUGGGUUGGGUUGGGUUUGGACUCGAAUCGCCUCCAGCCCAUAAUCUAUUGCCAAAGACCUCCUUGGAGACUUGUUGCACAUCGAUUGACAUGUUGUUGCUGACGGAUUGCAAGUCGGAAUAACCUAAUGCCUUCAUGUUCCUGGGUAAGUUAGAUUCAACCAUAAAGCCAAUAACACUCAUGUUGUUGUGUUAUGUGCAUCUUUGCUCCUAAUUCUGCCCCUUACACUCGCCAUAUCAACCACUAUGCCACUUGCCACAUUAGCGACUUACCACGUUAGCAAAUUUUUCGCAGAAUUCUUCCUUGCUAAUUUUGAUAUCCAGAUUUCAAGUUUGACAUCCAUUUUGGGGAGAAACGAAUAUUUAAGGUUAGUCAGAGCAUUGAAUUACAGCUUGGAUCUGAAAUUUGCUUAAUUGCUUCCUUUAACUUACAGAAACACUAUUGUUAUUCAAUUGAUUGUCUUUAAAUUUUUGUUUGCUCACUUUUUGAUAUUUUUCACCCAAACAACCUAGACAUAACACUUAAAUUGAUUGGUAUGAGUCAAACAUAACACUUAAAUUGAUUGGUAUGAGUCAACAAGUUCAUUAUUUGCGUUACUUUUGGUAAUUUCUGUUCACUUGACAUCAUCUAUUGUUCGCCAUGAACAAUAGUAAACACCAUGACUCACACUCAAUAUAGGCAAGACCACUAUUAUGGCACAACUGGUCCUCAUGGUACAGCCCCUAAUAGGAUCCAUGGACAACCUCCUGUACAUGAUUAUGAGAAACAUGUUGAUAUAGGUCAGACUUAAUGCUCCUAAAUAUGAUGGGAAAUUGAAUCCUAGUGCUUUUAUUGAUUGGUUAGAUGGAAUGGAGGAUUAUUGUGAUUUUUACCAUAUGAUUGAUUUAUAGCAUGUUUGCUUUCCUAAAACGAAAUUAACUGGAGCUGCUAAAAGUUAUUGGUAAAGUGUUUAGUAUAAUAUGAAGCAUUUGAAUGAGCCACCUAUUGCUCAAUGGAUAGUCAUGUAACAAAAAUUGAAGGAAAAAAAAUUUGCUAUGAGAGUCAUCUGGUGUACCAAAUGUUAAAUCUUAAGCAAUCGACUUUUGUUGUGACUAUUUACAUGAAUAAAUUUGAUGAACUCUUUGCUUAGUUAUGAUAUGGUAAAGGAACAUUUUAUUACUCUUAAUAUGUUUAUUAAUGGAUGGAGAGCAUAUAUUAAAAGGGAACACAUACUUCAGUCUCUUGAGUUGAUAGAGGAGGCCUAUCAAAAGGCUUUAGAGAUAAAAAGAUAAAACAAAUUUUCCUCUUUUCUUCAAGCAGCUUCACAAGCUGUAGGAUCAAACCUGUCUAAAUCUUUUUCAAAUUCAUAUUCUAAUUCUAUAGCAAUGGUAGAAACAAAGACUUCACUAGUAAGAGUAAAGCAUUUGUCUCUACUAAUUCUCAUUUUGUUGGUGUAUCUAAUGGGUAUCGUGUUAGUAACUCUUCUAUACAACGUUUUCAUUAUCAUGAUAAAGAUCAUAUUGCUUCUCAAUGUCCACGUCAUGCAUUAACUUUACACCAACAUGCAAACAUGAGCUUCAGAGUGAGCAUAGUGAUUCUCUAACUAUGAGGAAGAAGUUGUGGGACUUAUAGAAUAUUUUAAGGAUGAAGGUAAGCUAGAUUUAGAUGAUGAGCAUAUCAAUUUUGUUUGAUGUUUACCUUCUAUUUUGUUUGAUAGGAGUGUUAAGUUUGUUUAUUAUUUUUGGAAGAUAGUUUAGAAAUUGUUUGGCACUACCUUGGAGUUUUCUUCAAUUUUUCACCCACAAACAAGUGGUCAAAUUGAAGUUGUUAAUUAUAGUUUGGGUGAUUUUCUUUGUUGUCUUGUAGGAGUGAAACAAGGUAAUUGAAAUUUGAUUCUUUAUGUUGUUGGGUUUGCUUAUAAUAAUUCUAAUAGUUAUAUUGGUAAAAUCCCUUUUGAGAUAGUUGACCUUGUUCCUCUUCCUCUUGAUAUUGCAUUUCACAGCCUGCUGAAUCUUUUCCCUAGCAUAUUUAUGAUUUGCAUGCUGAGAUUAGGUG